rnacentral:rRNA from 1 species
UGGGGAAUAUUGGACAAUGGGCGGAAGCCUGAUCCAGCCAUGCCGCGUGUGUGAAGAAGGCCUUUUGGUUGUAAAGCACUUUAAGCGAGGAGGAGGCUACUUGGAUUAAUACUCAAGGAUCGUGGACGUUACUCGCAGAAUAAGCAUAGGCUAACUCUGUGCCAGCAGCUGCGGUAAUACAGAGGGUGCGAGCUUUAAUCGGAUUUACUGGGCGUAAAGCGUGCGUAGGCUGCUUCUUAAGUCGGAUGUGAAAUCCCUGAGCUUAACUUAGGAAUUGCAUUCGAUACUGGGAAGAUAGAGUAUUGGGGAGGAUGGUAGAAUUCCAGGUGUAGCGGUGAAAUGCGUAGAGAUCUGGAUGAAUACCGAUGGCGAAGGCAGCCAUCUGGCCUAAUACUGACGCUGAGGUACGAAAGCAUGGGGAGCAAACUGG